UACGGAGGGGGCGAGCGUUGUUCGGAAUUAUUGGGCGUAAAGGGCGCGUAGGCGGCCGGCCAAGUCGGGUGUGAAAUCCCUCGGCUCAACCGAGGAACUGCACUCGAUACUGGCUGGCUUGAGUCCAGGAGGGGAUGGUGGAAUUCCCAGUGUAGCGGUGAAAUGCGUAGAUAUUGGGAAGAACACCGGUGGCGAAGGCGGCUCACUGGCCCGAUACUGACGCUGAGGCACGAAAGCGUGGGGAGCGAACAGG
rnacentral:rRNA from 1 species